AACGAACGCUGGCGGCAGGCUUAACACAUGCAAGUCGAGCGCCCCGCAAGGGGAGCGGCAGACGGGUGAGUAACGCGUGGGAAUCUACCCAUCUCUACGGAAUAACGCAUGGAAACGUGUGCUAAUACCGUAUACGUCCUUCGGGAGAAAGAUUCAUCGGAGAUGGAUGGGCCCGCGUUGGAUUAGCUAGUUGGUGGGGUAAAGGCCUACCAAGGCGACGAUCCAUAGCUGGUCUGAGAGGAUGAUCAGCCACACUGGGACUGAGACACGGCCCAGACUCCUACGGGAGGCAGCAGUGGGGAAUAUUGGACAAUGGGCGCAAGCCUGAUCCAGCCAUGCCGCGUGAGUGAUGAAGGCCCUAGGGUUGUAAAGCUCUUUCACCGGUGAAGAUAAUGACGGUAACCGGAGAAGAAGCCCCGGCUAACUUCGUGCCAGCCGCCGCCGCGGUAA
rnacentral:rRNA from 1 species